rnacentral:rRNA from 1 species
GCAAUCUGCCCUUCACUCUGGGACAAGCCCUGGAACACGGGGUCUAAUACCGGAUAUGACACACGACCGCAUGGUCUGUGUGUGGAAAGCUCCGGCGGUGAAGGAUGAGCCCGCGGCCUAUCAGCUUGUUGGUGGGGUGAUGGCCUACCAAGGCGACGACGGGUAGCCGGCCUGAGAGGGCGACCGGCCACACUGGGACUGAGACACGGCCCAGACUCCUACGGGAGGCAGCAGUGGGGAAUAUUGCACAAUGGGCGAAAGCCUGAUGCAGCGACGCCGCGUGAGGGAUGACGGCCUUCGGGUUGUAAACCUCUUUCAGCAGGGAAGAAGCGAAAGUGACGGUACCUGCAGAAGAAGCGCCGGCUAACUACGUGCCAGCAGCCGCGGUAAUACGUAGGGCGCAAGCGUUGUCCGGAAUUAUUGGGCGUAAAGAGCUCGUAGGCGGCUUGUCACGUCGGAUGUGAAAGCCCGGGGCUUAACCCCGGGUCUGCAUUCGAUACGGGCAGGCUAGAGUUCGGUAGGGGAGAUCGGAAUUCCUGGUGUAGCGGUGAAAUGCGCAGAUAUCAGGAGGAACACCGGUGGCGAAGGCGGAUCUCUGGGCCGAUACUGACG